AUUAAAGUUGCUGCAGUUAAAAAGCUCGUAGUUGGAUUUUGAAUUAUAAAAAUUUAACAUUCAUCUUUUAGAUGUGAUUUAAUUUUUAUAUUCUUCCUUUUGAUACGCUCCAUCAAAUUUUAUAUUUUUUGGAUUUAAGUGUUUCAAAUUGUUUACUGUGAAAAAAUUAGAGUGUUCAAAGCAGGCGUAACCUAGCCUUUGAAUAUAUUAGCAUGGGAUAAUGAAAUAGGACUUUAAUCCUACUUUCGUUGGUUUCUAGGGCUAAAGUAAUGAUUAAUAGGGUUAGUUGGGGUCACUAGUAUUUAAUUGUCAGAGGUGAAAUUCUAAGAUUUAUUAAAGACUAACUACUGCGAAAGCAUUUGACAAGGAUGUUUUCAUUAAUCAAAAACGAAAGUUGGGGGAUCGAAGAUGAUCAGAUACCGUCGUAGUCUCAACCAUAAACUAUGCCGACCAAGGAUCCGAGGUUGUUAAUAUGGAUGACUCUUCGGGCACUUAUAGAGAAAUCAUAAGUAUUUGGGCUCCGGGGGGAGUAUGGUCGCAAGGCUGAAACUUAAAGGAAUUGACGGAAGGGCACCACAAGGAGUGGAACCUGCGGUUUAAUUUGACUCAACACGGGAAAACUUACCAGGUCCAGACACAGUGAGGAUUGACAGAUUGAGAGUUCUUUCUUGAUUCUGUGAGUGGUGGUGCAUGGCCGUUUCUAGUUGGUGGAGUGAUUUGUCUGGUUAAUUCCGUUAACGAACGAGACCUUAACCUAUUAAAUAGUUAUUUGAACUUGAUUUUUAAAAUCAAAUGUUUAAAAAACUUCUUAGAGGGACUCUUCACUGAGAGAGUGAAUGGAAGUUUGAGGCAAAAACAGGUCUGUGAUGCCCUUAGAUGUUCUGGGCCACACGCGCGUUACACCGACAUAUUCAACGAGCAUUAUCCUUACCCGUCGGGGUUGGGUAAUCUUUUAAAUGUAUGUCGUGCUGGGGAUAGAUCAUUGUAAUUAUUGGUCUUGAACGAGGAAUUCCUAGUAAGUGCGAGUCAUCAACUCGCGCUGAUUACGUCCCUGCCCUUUGUACACACCGCCCGUCGCUCCUACCGAUUGAAUGGUCCGGCGAGAACUCAGGAUGGAUAUGGAUUUUGGACACCGUUAGGUGUUCCAACCAUAUCCAGAAUUUGUUCAA
rnacentral:rRNA from 1 species